UACGUAGGGUGCAAGCGUUGUCCGGAAUUAUUGGGCGUAAAGAGCUCGUAGGCGGUCUGUCGCGUCUGCUGUGAAAACUCAGGGCUUAACCCUGAGCUUGCAGUGGGUACGGGCAGACUAGAGUGCGGUAGGGGAGACUGGAAUUCCUGGUGUAGCGGUGAAAUGCGCAGAUAUCAGGAGGAACACCGAUGGCGAAGGCAGGUCUCUGGGCCACUACUGACGCUGAGAAGCGAAAGCGUGGGGAGCGAACAGG
rnacentral:rRNA from 1 species